rnacentral:rRNA from 2 species
GUUAAGUGGGAAACGAUGUGGGAAGGCCCAGACAGCCAGGAUGUUGGCUUAGAAGCAGCCAUCAUUUAAAGAAAGCGUAAUAGCUCACUGGUCGAGUCGGCCUGCGCGGAAGAUGUAACGGGGCUAAACUAUGCACCGAAGCUGCGGCAGCGACACUAUGUGUUGUUGGGUAGGGGAGCGUUCUGUAAGCCUGUGAAGGUGUGUCGUGAGGCAUGCUGGAGGUAUCAGAAGUGCGAAUGCUGACAUAAGUAACGAUAAAGCGGGUGAAAAGCCCGCUCGCCGGAAGACCAAGGGUUCCUGUCCAACGUUAAUCGGGGCAGGGUGAGUCGACCCCUAAGGCGAGGCCGAAAGGCGUAGUCGAUGGGAAACGGGUUAAUAUUCCCGUACUUGGUGUUACUGCGAAGGGGGGACGGAGAAGGCUAUGUUGGCCGGGCGACGGUUGUCCCGGUUUAAGCGUGUAGGUGUGUGUUCCAGGUAAAUCCGGUUCACUUUAACACUGAGGCGUGAUGACGAGGCACUACGGUGCUGAAGCAACAAAUGCCCUGCUUCCAGGAAAAGCCUCUAAGCAUCAGGUAACAUCAAAUCGUACCCCAAACCGACACAGGUGGUCAGGUAGAGAAUACCAAGGCGCUUGAGAGAACUCGGGUGAAGGAACUAGGCAAAAUGGUGCCGUAACUUCGGGAGAAGGCACGCUGACACGUAGGUGAAGUGAUUUACUCAUGGAGCUGAAGUCAGUCGAAGAUACCAGCUGGCUGCAACUGUUUAUUAAAAACACAGCACUGUGCAAACACGAAAGUGGACGUAUACGGUGUGACGCCUGCCCGGUGCCGGAAGGUUAAUUGAUGGGGUCAGCGCAAGCGAAGCUCCUGAUCGAAGCCCCGGUAAACGGCGGCCGUAACUAUAACGGUCCUAAGGUAGCGAAAUUCCUUGUCGGGUAAGUUCCGACCUGCACGAAUGGCGUAAUGAUGGCCAGGCUGUCUCCACCCGAGACUCAGUGAAAUUGAACUCGCUGUGAAGAUGCAGUGUACCCGCGGCAAGACGGAAAGACCCCGUGAACCUUUACUAUAGCUUGACACUGAACAUUGAGCCUUGAUGUGUAG